rnacentral:sRNA from 1 species
GUAAGAAAUGUAUAAUAAACAUUUUUGGAACAGAGCUGAUAUGGUAGUAGAUAUGGUGCCACCUAAAAGGCGCAAGAAACAUAAAAAAUGCACUAAUAAAAGGAAAUUUAUGCAAGCAACGAGUAGUAUUCGUAUGCAAAAACGUCUCGGUUUAGCCAAUAAUGGCUUUUGGAACUACCUGCGGGUGUACAGAAAGACGCAUCCCUGGCUGACGCCAAAAGACACGGUCCGAAAAGGAGCCAAGGCUUGGUGUGCACUUACAAGAAAGCAGAAGACAAAGAACGAGCCUCAUCUGACAGCAUUCUUUCUUUUCUGAUCUAUUUGAUUGGCUAUUGAGACCUAUCGCUCACUUACCCUUGUCAGGACCCUCAUGAAAUCCCAAUCUGUGUAUUCCAAAUUAAUGUAUGUCUCAAAAUAUUAAAUCUACCUAUGGCCUGCAUCUGCUCUCUUGCCAUAUAAGUA